rnacentral:tRNA from 1 species
UCCAUGGUGGUCCAGUGGCUAAGACUCUGCACUCACUGUGCAGGGGCCUGGGUUCGAUCCCUGGCCAGGGGG